GACGAACGCUGGCGGCGUGCUUAACACAUGCAAGUCGAACGAAGUGGCGCACGUGUGAGUAACGCGUAAUCAACCUGCCCUUCAGAGGGGGACAACAGUUAGCAACGACUGCUACUACCGCAUACUGAAGGAGGGGAUUGCGUUUGAUUAGCUAGUUGGAGGGGUAACGGCCCACCAAGGCGAUGAUGAGUAGCCGGGCUGAUGGGAUUAACGGCCACAUUGGGACUGAGACACGGCCCAGAAUCCUACGGGAGGCAGCAGGGGGGAAUCUUCCGCAAUGGAGGAAAGUCUGACGGAGCAACGCCGCGUGAGUGAUGACGGCCUUCGGGUUGUAAAGCUCUGUUAAUCGGGACGCGGUACCGGAAUAGAAAGCCACGGCUAACUACGUGCCAGCAGCCGCGGUAAUAC
rnacentral:rRNA from 1 species